GGCUUUCAAGUCUUACAUAAUGUUGCCUGCUCAUUCAAUCUUUGCCUCAUGGUUACUUUUUGAGGCGAGAAAGUUGGAAAGAGCAAAUUAUGUCCCGGAAGCAAGCGCAAAUUUUUAUCAAAUCCUUUGGAAGCUUCUUAUGUUGGAGCUCCUCUUAUUUCCUUUCAUAUAGUAAAUUAAUUGCGAGUUAACCGUACGUUUUACGCAUAUAUAAUAUGGUGGGGUGGGGGAAUAAAGUGAGUUGUGCGUUGUUAAGAAAUAAUCACUUAUAUUUCUUUCAGUUUCAAAAAUAGGCAGUCAAGACAACUAUUAUGAUUCUAAGUUUCAUAAAAAGA